ACUUGUGACUUGACUUGGACUUUUACACCAAUGACUUGGGACUUGAAUUGGACUUGAACCUGUUUACUUGAAAAGACUUGAUAUUUUACCCCAAAUCUAAAAUUUAACACAUAUUAAAUAAAAAGUCCCCACCAUUAAAUCAUUUCAUUAAUUCUUACCACACUCCGUAUGUAUGUGUGCGUGAGCUGUAGCACAUCCAAUCAAAUUAACCAAAUUUUAAAAAAACAAAAAUGGUCCCAGGAGUAAUUUCUUUCGGGUAGGUAAACUACGAAGAAGUCAACAAAAAACGAAAUGCAAUAUGAAAAACGUGCAAGAAGAGAAUCACAGACGGAGAUGGAACAACUUCCAACUUUGUCCGACAUUUGAAGUUGCAUGAAGAACGGUAGGUGUUACUUUUCUUUAGCUACGAUGAGAUAGCUGACUUAGCUAACUUCAUCUUAUUAGCAAAUGUUCCCCGGGCUACGUUGAUGAUACUGUUUGGCUUUAACAUGUAUGAUAUCUUUGUCAUGCUAUUUUAAAUCCGGUCCUACAAGCGCAUCCAAGAAUAAACUACUGCAUAAACUACUUAUGGUUGAACGUUUUGCUGAAGUAGGAUGGUUUGUCAGAACACCGUUUCAGAAAGUGGCUUAGUACCUGAACUCGGGGAAGACAGUUUCUCUCCGUCUUCUCCCCAUCAUUAACCCCGCUUAGACUGACAAAUAUUUAUUUUACCAUCACAUCAAAAUUCAAAACCACUUAAUUUGCAAUUAGUGCAUGGCGGAAACCUGCAGUCAGCUGAGACUGAGGAAGUCACUUGGAUGAGUGACGAAAUGUUUCUCCCACAAAACGCUACGUCCAGAUGAACAGAAUAAACUUUUGGAGAGUGCAUGGCGGUGUUUAACUUUUGCAUUUCUUUUAUCUGUUACGGACAGGACAAAUGCAAUGCAAUUUCUUGGUUAAAAAAUCUGUCCCAUCUUAGUGUGUAAUUGAGUAGCCCUGCUAUACUUGGCCUUUUUUCUGUCAUUUAUGUCAAUACAUCACAUAAAAUACUUUGAGUGUUUUUAUUGUAUUAGCUGUUGUUUAUUUGCAAAUGUCAGUUAUUCUUAAUAGUGAUGCUAAACAUUGCUUAUUAGAACUGUAUGCAGAGUUUUGAGAAAAGUGUUUUAAUAAAUAAUUUUUAUAAUUUUUUUGAUUGUCUGAAAGCUAUGGGGAUUUAAGUGUUAAUAUUUAUUUAGGAUUAAUUGGAACAACUUAAAGUCAAAUGCAAUUCAUGAAUGGCUGUAAUGGAAUUUCUGACAUCAGUUUAAUAUGCUUACCCCUAGCAGAUUUGAAGAACACCAGAUAAAAAAGAGGAUCACAAAUGAACCUCAACAGCCUUCCAUAUCACAGUUUGUGGACACUUGGGCCUGGCAGUACAGAAUGACUCAUCCACAGCAGAAAGCCAUCACGAAUGCAUUAUUAAGUGACUUGAUUAUUGGUUGCAACCUACCCCUGUCUAUUGUGGAAAACAAGAGUUUUCGGCACUUUCUGACAGUGGUUGACAGCAAAUACAGCCCGGUAUGUCGCAGAACAAUUACAUCAAAAACAGAGAACCUUUCUGCUGAGAAACGUUCAAUGUUAAAAAGUCAGUUGAGCGAGACUGAUCAUGUUUCAGUUACUGUGGACAUUUGAUCGGACCGAAAGAUGAGGUCCUUGGUAUCACUGUGCACUGGAUACAGAAAGAGACAGAGAGGAUACAGCUGAAAUCCAAAGUGCUGGCCUUUGACCCCUUCAAAGGCUUACACACUGGUGACAGAAUCUGUGAGAAAUUUGAAGCUAUAUGUGACGAAUACAACAUCAAAGAUAAACUAGACUAUAUUAUUAGUGACAAUGCUGCAAAUAUGCGAAAAGCAUUCACUGUGUGCUUUCCCACUGAGCAAGGUGAGGAACAUGAUGAUGAUGAUGGUGAUCAUCUUGACGACCCAGAGCUCUGGCACAACUUAACCUAGGAAGAUCAGGAAACAGUAGGUGCUGCUAUGGCAAAGAAACCGCGCCUGUAGUGUUUUGCGCACACACUUCAGCUGGUGGUGAGAGAUGGGUUGUCAGAGACCAAAGUGUCAUCUCCUUCGCUUUCAAAGUUAUCUGAGCUCAGCUCUCUACUGCACACAAGCACAACAUUCAAAGAUGUGUUUGAAGCUGAAUUUGGUGAACAGAAAGCGAUCCCUGCUGCUGUAAUCAUAAGAUGGAAUUCAACACUGAGACAAGUAAAGGCAGUUCUCCAAUGUGAACAUCUAAAACUCUGUGCUGUUCUUGAAAUGGCUGGGCGCAAGGAGUUAUUGUUCACAGCAUGAGAGUGGAACCUGUUGAGGGAGAUGGUGGAAUCUUGAAGCCUUUCAGAGAAGCAACAGUUUUUGAGACAAGGUGAGAAAAUAGUCACGAUCAGUGCUGUUGUUCCAUCCUCACUGUCCCUCAAUCACCACCUUGAGAAACUGAAGCCUCAAGUCAGUUUCCUGAAUGGUCUGGUCAGGAGUCUCCAAGCAUCUUUGACCAAAAGAUUUCUUGGAAUCUUUAUCAGUGUGUGAAUGGCUAGAGCAGAAGAUGGGAUCACUGCCCCUGUUUCAGAUCCAGUGUACCUCAAAGCAGCUGCUUUGGAUCCAGCAUUUUCUCUGUUGUGGGUUGAACACCAUGUGUUGGGCAGUUGUGACAUAAAGACAGAGGUGACACAAAAAGUAAAAGAUCUGAUCCUGCAAGACGCUACAGAUCCUGCAAAGUCAGAGCAACCUGUGACUCCUGGUGAGGAACAUCAAGAGGACUGUGAAGAUGGAGGACUCUUUGCUGCUUACUGUAAGAUGCAGAAGGAUGUGGGGACCAGUCCAGUCACUACCUGGAUAUUGCUGAUGGGCAGAAUGCCCUCUUGUUCUGGGCAAUGAACAUUCAGACUCUUCCUUCACUGUUUCAUGUGGCCACCAGAGUUUUGGCAGUACUUGCAUGUAGUGCUCCAGUAGAGCGAGUUUUCAGCUAUGGUGGCAUCAUUCUACGACCUCAUCGUGCACAAAUGACUGACAGACUUUUGGCCAGUUUGGUCUUUUGCAAAUGCAAUGCAAAAUAGUUAACUGAAAUAACUAAAAGUGCACAUUCCUGUUCAUUGUUCAGUUCAUACAUAGAUAGAUAGAUAGAUAGAUAGAUAGAUAGAUAGAUAGAUUUGUUUUAAAAUUUUUUUCUCUGUCACUCACACAUGGACACAUACAAACACAUGUUCACACAGAGACUAGAUGGGAGAGACUGGACAUGCUAAUCACACUGCACUAAAUUUACUGCGAUGUUUCUUUGUUUUGUACUGUGGAAAUCUCAGCACUUUUUAUCUGAACAGGAAGUUCUGCUUUUGCAUUUUUCAUUGAAUGUUUAUUCUGUGAAUUUAUAGUUUAAAGGAAGACUAUUCUUGCAGAUAAGUUUAAUUGAGUUGUACAUUAUAGAGAUGCAAUUUCAGAAUUACUUUGUGUAUAUUUUGUAAGUUCACUUGUUUCAUCAUGUGUUGAGAUAAACACAGAUUUAAAAAAGAACACAUCGUCUAUUAUUUACAUUUAACAUAUAAUUCCAACAUUGUUUUUUUUUAAAAAACACUCAAAAGGACUUGAAAUUCAAAGUUUCGGGACUUGACUUGAGAGUUCCCUGUCUUGACUUGAGACUUGACUCUGACUUGAGGAUAAAUACUUGAGACUUACUUGAGACUUGCAAAACAAUGACUUGGUCCCACCUCUGCUUGGAAUCAUUAUCUUGGUUCAUUAUAUUAUUACUGAACUGCAAAUUUUAAAACUCUUGCAGUCACUUUUAACAUGUCAGACUGCUAUCAACAUCCCAACUGAACCCAUACACAGUUAUUAAUAAAUGAUGGUAGAGCUGGAUGCUGUGUUGCAGUUGGAGAAUCAAUUAGACUUUAUCUAAUUGAUCUCUAACUUAAAUAUUACUGACAUAUUUACCAUACAGAAUUUUUCAUGGCAUAGGUGUUGGAAACAUCCCUCAGAGAUUCUGGUCAACAUUGAUAAGAUGGCAUCACACAGUUGCUGCAGAUUUUUUGGCUGCAUAUCGAUGAUGCAAGUCUUCUGGGCCAUCACAUCACAAAGGUGCUCUACUGGAUUUAGAUUUAGUCGCCACAGUGUGCCACUAGAAUACAGAGAACUCAUUGUCAAGUUCAAAAAACCAUUUCGAGAUGACUUGAGCGUUUCAGAAUUGCAUGUUAUCUUAGUGGAAGCAGCCAUCAGAAGAAAGGCACACUGUAGUCAAAAAGGGAUCGACAUGGUUAGCAACAAUACUGAGGUGGCAUUUAAAUGAUGCUCAGCUGGUACUAGGGAGCUGAAAGUGUGCCAAGAAAAUAUACCCUACACCAUUACAUCACCAGCAGCCUAUACAGUUGAUACAAGGCAGGAUGGAUCCAUGCUUUCAAGCUUUUUAUGCUAAAUUCUGACCCUACCAUUUGAAUGUUGCAGCAAACAUGAACACUUAUCAAACCAGGCAACAGUUUUCCAUCUUUUAUUGUAAAAGUUUGAAGAGACUAUAUGAAUUGUAGCCUCAGUUUCCCAUUCUUAGCUGACAGGAGUGGCACCUGGUGUGGUCUUCUGCUGCUAUAGCUCAUUGACUUCAGGGUUUGGUGUAUUAUGCCUUCAGAGCAUACCUUGGCUGUGGUAAUAGUUUAUUUGAGUUACUGCUGUUUUCUUAUCAUCUCAAAGUAACCUGGCCAUCAUCAAUAAGGCAUUUUCACCCUCACUGGAUAUUUGCUCUUUAUUUUCUCUUCUCUGUAAACCCUAGAGAUGGCUGUGAGGAAAAAAUCCUAGUAGGUCAGCAGUAUCUGAAACACUCAAACCAGCCCAUUUGGAAACCAUGCCAUGUUUAAAGUCAAAAUUUUAAAGUUUCUUCUGAUUCUUCUUCUGGUCUGAAUUUCAGAAAGACAUCUUGACCAUUUCUUAUAUGCCUAGAUUUAAUGAGUUGCUACCAUGUGAUUAGCUGAUUCGAUAUUUGCAUCAACCAGCACCUGUUGUUGUGCCCCCAACAUCAAGUGUACCCGAUAAAGUGGCGCAUGAGCGUGGGUCUAUUCGAUCAGUCCUGCCAUUCUCUUAUACUCCGAUAUGUCAAUGACCUCAGAAA